UUGCUCGUAGGACGAUCUUUGGAAGAGUUUCCCCUCCCACAAUGCACAGCGGCAUGGUGCCCUUUAUAAAUGUAUGCGUGACUUCCGCUCUCUCUCUCAGUCUGCUGGAACUAUGUGGGACGCAGGCGUCAGCUGAGGGAUUCCGGCUCUCCUGUUGGACAGGUGGUGUGUCAGAGUUGCAGCUAUGGGAUAAAGCGCUGCUUUCCUUUGGGUCUAAAGGCUGAGCCCCUGAAGGCUGCUCUGUGUGGGAUUAAGUCAUGCUGCCAGCUGCCUGAGGCAGCUUGUGAACAGCUGGCCUGCAGGGGGCAGCAUCGCCGCUGGACCACAGCCCGGCCCUGGUUUGAGUGAAAUGCUGCCUGGUCGGUCUGAGUGGAUCCUGUCAGCUGCUGAAAGUCACUAGUAACGUGUUUAGCAAGUCUUUCUACCUGGUUGAAGCCACAACCAGGACUUGUACAUGUAAUAUCCUGAAGGCAUUGUCUGUAUUCACAUCUACAGGAAAUUAUUGUAUCAGAAUAUAAUUUGUUUAAUAAAGUCCUUAAAUCAUAAGUUUGUCAAAUUGUCUCUAGGUCUUGUGAGUGCCAGUUGUAAAGGAAUAAUAAGG